AUUGAACGCUGGCGGCAGGCCUAACACAUGCAAGUCGAACGAGUGGCGGACGGGUGAGUAAUGUCUGGGAAACUGCCCGAUGGAGGGGGAUAACUACUGGAAACGGUAGCUAAUACCGCAUACCAUCGGAUGUGCCCAGAGGGGAUUAGCUAGUAGGUGGGGUAACGGCUAACCUAGGCGACGAUCCCUAGCUGGUCUGAGAGGAUGACCAGCCACACUGGAACUGAGACACGGUCCAGACUCCUACGGGAGGCAGCAGUGGGGAAUAUUGCACAAUGGGCUCAAGCCUGAUUCAUCCAUGCCGCGUGUAUGAAGAAGUCCUUCGGGUUGUAAAUUACUUUCAGCGAGGAGGCGUUACUCGCAGAAGAAGCACCGGCUAACUCCGUGCCAGCCGCCGCGGUAAUAC
rnacentral:rRNA from 1 species